UACAGGGGGUGCAAACGUUGCUCGGAAUUACUGGGCGUAAAGCGCGUGUAGGCGGACUGGUGUGUCGGAUGUGAAAUCCCCAGGCUCAACCUGGGAACUGCAUUCGAAACUGCCAGCCUUGAGUGGUGGAGAGGGAAGUGGAAUUCCUGGUGUAGAGGUGAAAUUCGUAGAUAUCAGGAGGAACACCAGUGGCGAAGGCGGCUUCCUGGACACCAACUGACGCUGAGACGCGAAAGCGUGGGGAGCAAACAGG
rnacentral:rRNA from 1 species